rfam:Glomerella graminicola M1.001 mitochondrion, whole genome shotgun sequence.
GAUUGUGAAGUAGAUGGUCUACACUUUGACUGCAAAUCUUAAGUACGAGGUUCGAUUCCUCCAUGAUCU